GAAAGAGAAGGUAGAUAGCAUGGGAGGGGCCAUUAACAAGGCAGAUGUUCUCCAAACAAAUAAAAGCUCUGUAGGAAGGAGAGCUGCUCUGGUCAAUGUUUAAAAAUGCUCCGGGCUCCCCCGGCAUCUCUUCAGUGCAAGGACCCGUCUGACACUACUUAUGCCAGGUCCUGCCUCCCUCGCAGGAGAAGCAGUCUGCAACUUUUGCUGCUCUGGACAACACUUCAUCUCUGAGCAAGCAGAGCUCUGCGGAGUGGAUCUGGGGCGAAGUGGUACCUCGGUGUGUCGUCAUGUCUUGGCUGUAGGAUGAAGGCUCAACGAAGAUGAGGCAGAGCAUGAUCUAAGAGGAGGCCUGCAGUAUACUGGGAGAAAAAGGAGGC
rnacentral:lncRNA from 1 species